rnacentral:rRNA from 1 species
UACGUAGGGGGCAAGCGUUAUCCGGAUUUACUGGGUGUAAAGGGAGCGUAGACGGCGGGGCAAGUCUGGAGUGAAAGGCCGGGGCCCAACCCCGGGACCGCUCUGGAAACUGCCCGGCUGGAGUGCGGGAGAGGUAAGCGGAAUUCCUAGUGUAGCGGUGAAAUGCUUAGAUAUCACGAAGAACUCCGAUUGCGAAGGCAGCUCACUGGACUGCAACUGACACUGAGGCUCGAAAGUGUGGGUAUCAAACAGG